rnacentral:rRNA from 1 species
UUCAGCCUACGGGGCGCAGCAGUGAGGAAUAUUGGUCAAUGGGCGAGAGCCUGAACCAGCCAAGUCGCGUGAGGGAAGACGGUCCUAUGGAUUGUAAACCUCUUUUGUCGGGGAGCAAAAAGGCCUCGUGAGGCCACAAGCGAGAGUACCCGAAGAAAAAGCAUCGGCUAACUCCGUGCCAGCAGCCGCGGUAAUACGGAGGAUGCGAGCGUUAUCCGGAUUUAUUGGGUUUAAAGGGUGCGUAGGCGGGCUGUUAAGUCAGCGGUAAAAGCCCGGGGCUCAACCCCGGCGAGCCGUUGAAACUG